rnacentral:lncRNA from 1 species
GCAUCACUGGGUGGCAGUUUCUGAUCUCUACAUGUUGAAGAGAUGGAAACCAUGGCAUGGUGAUCAAAACUGGGCAGUUGAUGAUAGUUAAUUUGUUCAAGCAAGUGAAUGCUUCCACCAGAUUGGUGCUCCAGGUUUCCAACUUGGGAAAAUCUUUGAGAGAGAACUCGUUCAAUGAUGGAAAAGCUCUCAUGCCACCAAAGAACUCAUUGCCGAUGUUCACUACAGAAUCCAUUCCUUGAAUACGGAGAACUUUCAGCAGCGGCAAUUCCCCAAGCGUGGGGAGGUUUUCACAGUUUGUGCAGUUGGCUAACUCAAGUUGUAUCAGAUUGCAGAGGGCGGCUGCGUUCAUCCAAUUUGGAAAGUCAGUUCCUGGAUAGCCAUUCACAAACAACUUCUUUAUCCUGGAGUUUGGCUUCAAUGUUGAAUGAAGUAAAAACCUUGCAGCUUCACCACUAUGAUGUCCUGUUUGGCUUCUUGGUGCCCUCAUGUUACCACUCAGCUUAUGUUCACCAGCAUCUCCCCAUGACAAUCCCAACGAGUUAAGUUGCAUAUUUUCCAAACAAGAUUUCUCUGGAAUAUCUUUCUCAUUCUCGAGGUGUUUAAUUUUCAGUUCACCUCGAAGAUUUUGUAGCUGUCGUAACUGAAAUAAGUUAUCCUCCCAUGUUUUGCCAACUAUAAAUAUAGGCAAGCUCUGAAGAUUUCUCAAUUCCCCAAUAAAACCUGGCAAACGAGCAAGUCUUGCACAGUUUUUUAUCUUCAGAUGUCUCAGGCUGGUCAUUAUUCGCGUCCUUGUGGGUAACUUUUGAAGAUUAUAGCAAUUUGAUAAAUCUAGUGUCUGCAAUUGAAAGUUACAAAUAGAUUCUGGUAAUUUUUCAAUUGGAGUGUUGGAGAGAUCAAGAUAUCUCAGGUAUGUCAAGUCACCAACUGAUUUGUGCAAUUUUUCUAUGCCAAACCCACUCAAAUUAAGAAUUCUGAGGUACUUGAAGCUUGAAAUUAAAUUCCCGAUGUCUUUCUCUGAUGCAUCUCCUAGAGACAACAAAUUGAGAGUACGCAGUCCCUUUGCUCUGUACAAGGCUUUAUGAAUCCGGCUGGACGAAGAAUUGCUAUCAACCACAGCAUGUCUAGUUGUUGUGAAGAAAUCACACACUUUUGGCAAGGAGUGGCUCUGUGCCAAGGUCCCUUGUUGUUCAGUCUUCCCUGCAGUUAGGAAUUCAUUACCAGCAACUGAUAUAGCAAGAUCAUGAAUAAGAUCAUGCAUUUUAAUCCUUGUCGUGCUGCUGUCAUCACAUCCACUCACCACUUCCAAAAAAGACAUCCUUAGCAGAUCAUUGAGAUAGUCGGAGCCGAUGUCUUCAGGUUCGGACACCCGAUCAUGAGCAGAACGUUGAGCUAAUCCCCCCGCAAUCCAUUGAUGGAUUAACUUUUCCUUGCAUAUUUCAAAUUUCUUCGGAAAAACCGCACAAUAAGCAAAGCAUCUCUUUAAAUGUGAUGGCAGAUGAUCGAAACUCAACUUUAGGACCUGCAGUAUUUUAUUCUCCCCUCCAUCAAGAUUCCAUAAUUCGCUCCCUUGCACCCUCAACCACUCACUUUCUUCGCGUUUGAACCGCAUUAAGCUUCCAAGAACUUUGGCUGCCAAAGGCACUCCUUUGCACUUGUCAAUGAUCUGUUUUCCAAUAGGUAGUAAGUUUGGAAAACCAUUUUCAUCUCCAUCAGGAAAGGCUCGCUGCUUGAACAAAGUCCAACAAUCAUCCUCGGACAGGGCUUCCAAAUGGUAAGCAGGGCUACUGCUCAUUAUGGAUGCUACUUUCCCGCUCCGGCUGGUGACAAUAACUUUGUUUCCAUUUGUACCAUCCCCUAGCAGAUUCUUUACUUUAUCCCAUUCAUCUGGAUCCUCAUUCCAAACAUCGUCCAGCACAAGGAGAUGUCUUUUUCCGUACAAUGCUUUCCUCAAUUCUGACUGCAGCAAACCCAUCUGGGACAUCGGAUAAUACUUGCCCUUCGCAGCAUAAUCCAGCAUUUCACUCAUAAUCUUCCUAGGAUUGAAAUCACCAUAUAGGGAGAUCCAAAUCUUCAAAUCAAAAUGCUUCUUAACUCUCUCAUCAUUGUAGGCUAAUUGAGCAACGGUUGUUUUUCCAAUACCUCCAAUCCCAAUUAUUGAAAUCACCCUGACAUCAGUAUUAGAUCCCAAUAACAUUUUCACAACCUUUUCGACAUCCUCUUUUCUACCACAAACCUCAGACUCAACUAUGUGAGGUCCAGUUUCUCUCCCUUCUCUAUUACCGGUCUGUGGUAGUCUCGACAUGAGAACUUCCUUAAGUUGGAACUCACCCAUCUCCUUCGCUAUAUCAUCCAAUCUCUCCCUAAUAUCUCUCAGCUUGCCCAAGUUUAUGAAAUAAUUUGGAAGUGAUUCAACAACAUGAGAAGCCAAUCGUACCUUUCUAUUCAUCAGCUCACCAAAUUCCUCUGCCAGAAGCUUUCCUUUACCGAGUAUUCCCGUGUCGUAACUCGGAGAAUAUGUGAAGCGGUCACUUUCAAGCACUUGUUUGGACAAAACUCGAGCAUGGAUCAUGUCCAAUAAAUCUUCUGCAUCAUAGGCCACAUCUUUAAGUUUUUGCAGCCAAAUCUUGAUCUUCUUAUCUCCAUGUUGUCUCUCCUCUGCAUCUUCGAUCACAGCUUGAAUUAUGGGAAGCCUAUCCUGCAGCUUUUGCAUCUCCUUCUCGUAAUCUCCACGAGUCGUUGAUUUUCUUGUAAUCACAAGAGCCAACUUAUCAAACACAACUUGUAAAAGGGGAGAUACUACUAAAGCAUCCAUGAUGAUCUUCUAGCAAUCUGCAAGCAGACUGGAAAGGAUUUUUCUUUUUCCUUAUUUCUCUCUUUUCUUUUUCAGCUUCCUUCUUGCAAGAUGCCUCUCUGCUUCUGCCUGGAACCGACAGUGGACCUUAUUGAUAAGACUAGAACAACUAGAAAUUUCUUUAUUAAUAGAAAAAAUAUCUUAUUUAUUCUCUUACUUACCUCACAACUUUUCUUUACUCUCCUUUUUACUUUUUAUAUUAGUUCUAUGGUACAUAUUUAGGCUUGGAUGCACUCCUUGUCUUUAUCUUGUAAAAAAACAAGAGGCAUCAAUUUGGUGCUCCAAAUGGCAUCGAAUUGAUGCCCACCAUUGCUGACUUGGGUAGCUGAUGAGUAAUUUAUUAUCAACCAUAAAAUAAUCAGGGAAGAAAAAACAAAAGUAGGAAGGAUUUUAUAUUAUUAUCAGCAUAAUCAAGAAUAACUUAUUGGCUAUAUUUUAUAGCCCACUAAACUUGGAAAGUUAAACAAUACGUUCAAAAAUAGAAAAGCACUAACAACACAAAACUACCAAUAAAAAACUAUCCUCCCACUGCACUAGUUUCCAGCAACCAUCAGUAAUCAGCAAAGACCUAUUUCUCAUACACUCCUCAUAAUUAACACUUGAACACACAGAGGACAUUUGUUUUGUUUGUUGUUUUUUCCGUAUUUUGUAUUUUACAAAUACAAGUAAAUGACAGAGCAGAGUACCCCCUUCUAGGACGGAUUCUUGGUGCUUUGGAUAAAGACCAUCCUUUCAAUGGUUUCGGACCUGAAAUGUUGCAAGAGAACUUAAGAUUUAUUGAUUAUUCAAUGAUUAAGUGUGUUGUGGAAUAGAAAAUUUACACGAGUUAAGACCUGGAAGAGGUGUGCCUAUGAAGUUGAAGAGCUGCUAGCAGUGUCACGUCACUGCUGCAAUGUUGAUGAUCCAACAUAAAUAUACGGUGUGUGAGAUAUUUUUUGCCAAUCCACGCCGUUCCCUCUCUGACAUCGUUUUUCGAGUUCAGGACAACCUCUGAUGGACAAAUGUUGGAGUGCGCGGAGUCGUUGGAGACCUUCUGGCAAAGACUUGAUGUUUUGGCAAUAUGAGAUUGUCAAAGUUCGAAGUGAAACGAGGUUCUCCACCCACGCUGGUAAUUCCAUGACUUCUGGACAGUCGUGAAUUUCCAGGUUUUGCAAUGUUGUAAUAAAUUGUAGUCCCUCAGGCAGAGAUGCCAGCCCUGUGCAGCUUAAAAUGCUUAGACUUUUAAGUGCAGAGAGAUGUUGCAAGCCAUUUGGCAAAGACACCAGAUUUGAACAGUACAUAAUAGUUAGGCGUUCAAGGGCUGUGGCAUGUUGCAUCCGACUCGGCAGGGAAGCUAAGCCGUGACAAUUCUCAAUGGAGAGUGAUCGCAGCGAACUCAAUCCUUCUAGGGUUUCCUCUGGCAGGGAGACUAAAUUAGGACACUCGAUAAUCUCCAAGGACUCCAGAGAAGUCAGAUUUGUCAAACCAUGUGGCAAAGAGUGUAGCUCCUGAAACCAACAUUUGCAGGCAAUGAACGAAGCUUGGGACAGGAGGAAAUUGUCAAAGACAAGAGAGGCAAGUUGUUUUCUAUGAGUGCUUUUGGUAUAUAGAGUAACUCCGGAAAAUUGCCAAUAAUGAGAGUGGAGAUUGAUCGUAGCUGUGCUACAGACCGUAGCAUCACUGGGUGGCAGUUUCUGAUCUCUACAUGUUGAAGAGAUGGAAACCAUGGAUGGUGAUCAAAACUGGGCAGUUGAUGAUAGUUAAUUUGUUCAAGCAAGUGAAUGCUUCCACCAGAUUGGUGCUCCAGGUUUCCAACUUGGGAAAAUCUUUGAGAGAGAACUCGUUCAAUGAUGGAAAAGCUCUCAUGCCACCAAAGAACUCAUUGCCGAUGUUCACUACAGAAUCCAUUCCUUGAAUACGGAGAACUUUCAGCAGCGGCAAUUCCCAAGCGUGGGGAGGCUUUCACAAUUUGUGCAGUUGGCUAACUCAAGUUGUAUCAGAUUGCAGAGGGCGGCUGCGUUCAUCCAAUCGGGAAACUCAGUUCCUGGAUAGCCAUUCAUAAACAACUUCUUUAUCCUGGAGUUUGG